GAAGUUGGAAUUGCUAGUAAUGGCAGGUCAGCAUACUGCCGUGAAUACGUUCCCGGGCCUUGUACACACCGCCCGUCACACCAUGAGAGUUGGAGAUACCCGAAGCCUGUGAGCUAACUUUUUAAGAGGCAGCAGUCGAAGGUAGAAUCAAUGAUUGGGGUGAAGUCGUAACAAGGUAAC
rnacentral:rRNA from 1 species